UACGUAGGGUCCGAGCGUUGUCCGGAAUUACUGGGCGUAAAGAGCUCGUAGGUGGUUUGUCGCGUUGUUCGUGAAAACUCACAGCUCAACUGUGGGCGUGCGGGCGAUACGGGCAGACUAGAGUACUGCAGGGGAGACUGGAAUUCCUGGUGUAGCGGUGAAAUGCGCAGAUAUCAGGAGGAACACCGGUGGCGAAGGCGGGUCUCUGGGCCGAUAUUGACGCUGAGGAGCGAAAGCGUGGGGAGCGAACAGG
rnacentral:rRNA from 1 species